rnacentral:misc_RNA from 1 species
GGGGAAGUAAUGGGGUGGAUUUUGAGGGAUAGAGAGGAAAGCCUUCGGCGGAGGCCUUGAUCUUGGGAGGAUGAGUCAGUAUGGGAGAGUGGGAGACCAUGGCUUGAUGUGCAUGCCUUGUGGAAGGUCUGGAUAAUGGAGGUCAUUGUGAGAGGAGGAGGAAGAAGUAGAAGAAGCUAUGGUUUGUGUUAGGAGGAAGGAGAGGAAUGAAGAGGAAAAAAGAGAGAAAGCUGAGGUGAAAUGUAGUGCUCACAGCUCUAUCACAGGCUGGUUUAUUCGUUUUUUGUGCUAAUG